rnacentral:lncRNA from 12 species
GGGGGGGGGGGGGGGGGGGGGGGGGGGGGGGGGGGGGGGGGGGGGGGGGCUGCUGAACCGCUCUUCCGAUCUAGCUGAUGGUGUCCAUGGGCUACACCCGCGAGGAGAUCCAGGAGUCGCUGGUGGGGCAGAAAUACAACGAGGUGAUGGCCACGUACCUGCUGCUGGACCACCGGGGCUCCGAGCUGGAGGAGAACCUGUCCCUGAAGCCCCGCGUGGCCCCGGAGGUGGCCAACAGCUCGGGCCCCUCCCCCGCCCACAAGGUGCAGCGCAGCGUCUCGGCCAACCCGAAACGGCGCGUGAGCGACCAGGGUGAGACUGGGCACAAACUGGGGGCACUGGGGGCACACACUGGGGGUACUGUGGGCACAAACUGGGGGUACUGGGAACACUGGGGGCACACGCUGGGAGUACUGGGGGCACAAACUGGGGGUACUGGGGGUGCUGGGAACGCGAAAUGACGCGUGAGCGAUCAGGGUGAGACUGGGCACAAACUGGGGGUACUGGGAGCACUGGGACCCUAAACUUGGGGGUACUGGGGAUGUCAGUGACCAGGGUGACACCCCAAACUGGGGGCACUGGGGGGUGACACCCCAAACUGGGACAGGGAGGGGGGGCUGGGUCCCCUCGGGGGCAGGGAUGGGACCGGGGCUCCAGUGGGGUGGGAACGAGGGUGCCCAGAGCCCCGUGGGGAGGGGAUGAAGAGGAGGGAGGGGAUGAAGAGGAGGGAGGGGAUGAAGAGGUGGGAGGGGAGGGUCCCCCCGGGGGGGGGGGGGGGGGGGGG